rnacentral:sRNA from 1 species
UAGUUACAAUUCCCGUGCCUGAUAUAGU